GUGGGCGUUCGCUUGAUCGUAAGAUUGAGAGGAAAGUCCGGACACCGUAGGGCAGGAUUCCCUGUGAAAGCGGGGGCGCGUUAGGGCAACUUGACGUGACGGAUAGUGUCGCAGAAAAUAUACCGCCUUGUUGCAAGUUUCGGCUUGCAUGAGGUAAGGGUGAAAUGGGGAGGUAAGAGCUCACCGCUCCGGAGGUAACGAAGGAGGCAUGAUAAACCCAAUCCGGUGCAAGGCAAAAUAGGGGAUCGGGCGGCUCGUCCAAUGAUUCCGGGUAUGUCGCAUCUCACUUCGGUGGGAAUUUCGCCUCGGCGAGAUAGAUAAAUGAACGCACAGCCAAGCGCUUCGGCGCAUGGUGGACAAAAUCCGGCUUACAGC
rnacentral:RNase_P_RNA from 1 species